rnacentral:rRNA from 1 species
UACGUAGGGGCCGAGCGUUGUCCGGAGUUAUUGGCGUAAAGCGCGCGCAGGCGGCCUCGCGCGCCCGACGUGAAAGCCCCCGGCUUAACCGGGGAGGGUCGUUGGGGACGGCGGGGCUUGAGGGCGGGAGAGGUCGGUGGAAUUCCCGGUGUAGUGGUGAUAUGCGUAGAUAUCGGGAGGAACACCUGUGGCGAAGGCGGCUUCUGGGCCUUACCUGACGCUGAGACGCGAAAGCGUGGGGAGCGAACCGG